GUGCUCACACAUAUGGCAGCACAUAUACUAAAAUUGUAACAAUACCAUGAAGAUAAGCAUGACCCCUAUGGAAGGAUGGCAGGCAAACUAGUGCAGCCUUCUGUAUAUUA